GAUGAUUAUAGAGUGGAAGUGUUGGAACUCAAGGCCAAAGAUGCAAGCUUUUGGAUUGGAAUGGUUUUGAGAAUAUUGUUGCUUAUGGAUAUUUCAUUUCAAAUGAUCCAAAAGAUUUAGUUCUUGAUGUCCCUAUUGGACCAUUUUCCAUGAAGGUUGGUGUUGAUUUUGCAAGAGAGCCUGAUGCAUUUUUGUGGAGGCCUACUUCAGGGAUAACUUGUAUUGAAGAAAGUGUAGGAAGUGUUAUUGCUUGGCCAGCCGACAAAGUCAUAAUGAGGGAUAACUAGUAUCGAAGAUAGUGUUGGAAGUGUUAUUGCUUGGCUCGCCGACAAAGUUAUAAUGAGGUGAUGAAGAUAGCGACACGAGAAUUGGAUGCUUGCAAUUAAUAAAGAGAUAGUAUUGGACAAAUGUUACAAUUUUCCUUUUAUUAGACUCAUUAAACAUAUUAUUUCUAAGCAUAAACUUUUAUUAUGGUAUGUUGCACUUGAA